GAUUUGUGUAUUGAAGGCUUGGUCCCCAGUGCAGUAUUGUUCAGAGGUGGGGCUUCUGGGAAGUGAUUGGAUCACAAAAGCUCUAACCUCAUCUAAGGAUUUAUAAUUGGAGACACUAUCAGGAGGGGGACAUAGUUGAAGCAGUGAGUCCUUGAGGGUGUGCCCUGGGAGACUAUCUUGUCCCUGGCUCCUUGCCCUCUCUCUGCUUCCUGUCGGCCAGGAGCUGAGCAGCUUUCCUCGUCCACACCCUUUUGUCAUGAUGUCCACUUUGCCUCAGGGCCAAAGCAAUGGAGCUAGCCAGCUGUUCUAGUGACCAGAACAUCUAGUGAUGUUCUAGUUUUGCAUCGUUGUGACCAAAAGACUUAGCAAGAACAACCUUAAAGGAGGAAAAGUUUAUUUUGGCUCAUGGUUUCCGAGGUUCGGUCCAUGGUUGACUGUGUACCUCUGAGCCAGAGGUGGAGGCAGAACACCUUGAUGAAAGGGCAUGGCAAGGAAAGCAGCUCAGGAUGUGGCAACCAGGAAGCAGAGAGAGCUCUGCUCACCAAGGCCAAAAUACGAACCCCAAAGGCACUCCCUCAAUGACCUAUUCCCUCCUGCUGCCCUCACUUACCUACAAUGACUGCCCGGUUCAUCCAGUUAUA
rnacentral:lncRNA from 1 species